rnacentral:lncRNA from 1 species
UUUUUCUUAAAGACGGCACUUUAUUCAGCGUGCCUUGCCUCACCAUAUACUUUGUUUUAAUUCCCAUACAAGACAAGUCGGAUCACAACCGCCGUAACCUGUCCGUUCUGCACAAGUUAAGCAAGCAAAUUACUUGUACCGAUUCUCGAAUGAGCAAGAGACCUCAUCGGACAAUCUUGUUGUAUAUGAUAUGGAUUGCCAUCGUCCUGUUAAAGAGGAGAUAAUGAAUCGCCCUCUCUCGAUCUCUGUCUCUUUAUUUAAUGUUGGAAUGAAAAUCAGGUGCGAUCUGGAUUUGAGGAGGAUUGAUGUCACCAGCGAGGAGGAGAAAAGGCCAAUCGGCAUGCAUGAAAAACGCUACUGAAUAUGGAGGGACCAUGAAAAGGAGGAGAUUAUUCUCCUUUUCCCUGUACUCCUCCAUCCCCUCGUCAUAUCUUCUUUCCUUUUGUACGUGCCUCCGAUCAAUCAAAGAAAUUCGCCGGCCUCAUGCCCCACCGGUCUAGUGCUCACCCCACUCCCCGC